CUCCAGGCUCCAAGCUGUCAGCACAGAGCCCGAUGCGGGGCUCGAACUCACGAACCACAAGAUCGUGACCUGAGGCUGAAGUCAGACGCUUCACGGACUGAGCCACCCAGGCGCCCCCAAAGGAUGGAUUUUAAACGCCAUGCUUUCUUGAGUCUUCAGGAAGCGUUCUGAGCUCCUCACACAGAAGAUUCCUACUUAAGGUCACAGUUAAUUCUCACGACAACCCUGGAGGUGGCUCCGCGACACGUUCCACAGUGGAGACUCAGGUGAAGGAAGAGGUCAAGACCGUACCCGUGAACAGCGCAAACGUUCUUUGCACGAUACCCUGGCUGUUUCUGCUCCUACACCCAGCACAUGACAGCCAUGAAAACCACGUUCAACACCCCAGAAACAAGCCAGGUGAGUGAACCGCCCCAUGCCUGGCGCCACCUGGGCGUCCGUGACCAGGGGGCCGUGUGUACAUCCAAAGAAAGCAGUGUCACGCACAGCCACUCCUUCCCACCUCCACGCCCGGGGUGACGUCCUCCCGUGCCUUCUCUCACGCCAGGCUGCAAGCUUGCACGGUGAAGAAUUCACCUUACCCAAAGGAAGUCUGGCCUCUGGCCUCGGCUCCUGGGAGGUGACCUCUAGGCCACCUGGGAUGUCCUGCCUGAUAAGUGGCUUGGCUGGCCUGGGGCAUCUGGCCACCGGAGAGUCAACAGUGAGACUGACUGACAGGGGAUCGGUCUGGCCUGCAGCAGGGACUGGACGGUAAAGGCCAGCCAGGCGGAUGGCAUGUGACUGAGUCCCAGUAAAUACUCCAGACACCACAGGCUCGGGUGGGCGUCCCCGGAUGGCAGUGCUGUGUGUGGCCACAUGUGCUCCUUCCCUGGGUGGGAGUUGGGGGGGGGGGCGGUUCAGUGGGUGUCCCUUCUCUGCUGGAAGCACGAUCUUCAUUGAGUCCUGCGAUUCCUUCCGGGGAGCUACUGAACCCCAAAGUGGUUUGGGGGAGCCCUUGCCUUACAAACAUAUCAGAAACGAGAGUGGCCGUGGGAUGUUCCCUCUGACUUCACAGCUGCUGCUCAGCUCUUCAAACCUUCAGGAAAACACCAGAGCUCUCCCCUUCCGCCCGCAGCCCCUUUCUCCUGGCCCCCCCCCCGCCCUCCCCCAAGUCCUGGGGACCCUGCCCCAUUUCCGGUCUGCCGCUCUGCCUCUGCGACCUUCCCACGUUUCCACCUGCUGCCUCUGCCUAGCUCCAUGCCAGCCCCUCCGGUCAGGCCCAGUUGUCACAGCCUCCUAACCAGCGCUCCCGCUGGUCUCCGAUCACCCACCCCUGCCCCAUCACCUGCUGCCCCACCUGCUGGCCUGGCCCCUCCGGCCCCGCUCCCAGCCUGCCUGCCGUCCGAGCGUGGGGAGCCCUUGGUCUGGCUUGCGCUCGGCCCCCAGGCGCCCCCUCCCAGCCUCAGCCGCUCAGCUGCGUAGACAGACGCUCUCCCUUCAGGGUCCCUCUCUCCCUCCCAGCCCGACCGGGGGCUCCUCCAGCCUGCCGGGGUCCGGUGCUCCUCGGGCGACGUGCCGGACACGGUGGUGGCAGGGCGGUGAAACGUUUGACAAAAUACGUACAGAAGCCGACUAGUCUCAUCUCUCACUAGUCUUUUCCCACUUCCUUCUUUUUCUAAUCAGGCAGGAGGAUGCGGAGGAAGAUAAAUAGUGAGAAGCGAUAAGCGGUCUCCAGAAUUCAUUAGGUGCCUCCUGUCCCCCCGGAGUUGUUGCUGCCUCACGCGCCGGCCCGUAAAGAAGACCCCCCGAGCUGGGCCAAAGCCGGAGAGAGAACGAGGCCCGGACCGGCAACUCUAAGAUGGCUGCAGGACAAGGGUUCUCCAUUUCUCCCCUAUGCACGAAGGAACUAUCACUCUGACCCUUACAACAGCCUGGAACGGCAGUCUUAUUACCCGAUUUGAGGACGACGCAAUGGCGUCUCAGAGAAGCUAAAACGACUGUCCAGAGUCACACAGCUUAGUAAACGCCCCAGCUGGGAAGCGAACCCACACCUCUGUCUGGCUCCAAAGGCCAUUCCUCUACCCUGUGCCGCUGGGCAGAUUCUAGGUUUCUCUGUGCCCCUGUCCGCAUCUUCUCUGACACGCUGAAAACUCCAGCCUCAAUCCAACCUGCUGCCUCCGUGCAUCCUGCCGGAACCAGGACCCUGCGUUCCAGAUACGACGGCCUUGAGAACAAGGAAGAGGGAGGGAAACCUCUUGACCCCGAGCACCCCACGCCCAGGGGGUUCCCAGCCUCCACCUCGAGCACAUCGGUCUGUGCCGCCCCACAUGCUGCGCCCCGCAGAGCAGUGGUGAACCACGCCCCGGGACGGGGGCAGCACCAGCUUCACUGUGUUGGGCUCUCCGGCAGCACCAAUCUGCUGAAAAGGCAGACAACCCAGGGUGCUAUGCGGCAGAAAGCCACCCCCAGCUGAAGGGUGCUGAAUUCACCACCAACAGCUUCUUCUGCAUAAAAAAAAAAAAGAAAAAAAAAAGGCAAGAAAUG